AGAGAAAGAAACUAAUUUAUUGUUGAAAUAAAAUUUUUGAUAUAAAACCUUUUACUCUCAAGUCAUUAAUAGGGUUUGGAGUUAAAAUUAAAAAUAAAAAAUAAAAAUAAAAAAAGAAAAAAAUCUAAACUCAGAUCUCUUCCUACAAUCUUCUUCUGUAGGGUCUUCUGAUUCUCGCAUCUUUCUCUGGCUGUCUCUUCUUCUCAUACGUCGGAAGGGUGGAAGAAAGUAGGAAUAAGAUAGCUAGUGUUGGGUAUAAAAUACCCUCAGCCGAAGUUCUCAACGAGAUUGACCCUCACGGGCUCGUCUCCAACUCUGACACCAACUUCAACUGCAAGGAAGACUCCGUCCGGACUCCUACAGGAGCCGGGCUCCAUCGCC
rnacentral:lncRNA from 1 species